UACGGGGGGGGGCAAGCGUUGUUCGGAAUUACUGGGCGUAAAGGGCUGGUAGGCGGCCAACUAAGUCGGAUGUGAAAUCCCCCAGGCUUAACCUGGGAACUGCAUCCGAUACUGGUCGGCUUGAAUCCGGGAGAGGGAUGCAGAAUUCCAGGUGUAGCGGUGAAAUGCGUAGAUAUCAGGAAGAACACCAAUGGCGAAAGCAGCUUUCUGGGGACGGUACUGACGCUGGAGGACGCGAAAGCCGUGGGGAGCGAACAGG
rnacentral:rRNA from 1 species